rnacentral:lncRNA from 1 species
GGCGAGCGCACGUCCGGUGCUCCCCUCUGGCGGGUGCGCACGGGCCCUGUGAGCGAUCGCGGUGGGCUUGGGCUGGUGACGCGUGCGCCGGCCGGCCGCCGAGGGGCUACCGUUCUGCCUCCGACCGGUCGUGUGUGGGUUUACUCGGAGAAAUACUAGGCUUUAGAAUUUCACCAUAUGAAUUUUGGGAGAGAGGAGCACAGUUCAGCCCAUAACUAACACACGACGGAAUGAAGUUGAUAAUAGUGAGACCUUGUUGGUACAAGACUAUGUAACAUAACCUGCGCUUCUCAACAAAGAAUUGCUUUUCUGACUUCUGCACUCAAUAGCAAGACAAAUCUCUCCUCUGCCUUCUCCUUAUCAGACUACUCAACAUGAAGGCAAUAAGAAUGAAGACCUCUAUGUAUAAUAAUUGACUUCCACUUAAUAAAUAAGGUUACUUGGUACACUGGUCGACAAAACCUUGAAAUGUUGAUGUUUAAGGGCUGUUGAUUGCUGGCAGCAAAGAAGUCCAACUGUGCUGGUACCCGAGAUAGCGUCUCCACAUUUUCUUCCAGGAUCAUCACCUUUGUUCUAAAUAGCUCCCACAUAGUGUGAACAGAAGUCAUAUGUUUUAGAUUUUCUGCCUUGGCACCCAGGAAACCAGUAUGAUUGAGUAAACAUAUUAAACUUCCUCUGCAUUUCCAGCCUGAACAGAUGUUGAGUACAAGCUGAUCCACCUACGUUCAACCUGAGAGAGUCCACAUCCACAGACUGUUUCAUUUCCCUUUUUCAAUUUACAUAGAAGCAUAGAUUCUUGCUGGCAUAUACAAAUGCGCCAUUUAAGGCAAUCAAAAAUGGUUCCACAUCUCAUCUGAUUUCCACAAUUGUUGCUGUAACGAUGGACUACUGAGGAGAGAGACAAUUUCUCUGGCACAUCUUCCCACAUUUUAGCAACAUGUUCAUGGAGAGCCAAUAUUCAGUAAUUACAGCCCAAUUCCUCACAAUUUCACAAUUCGCUAACAAUAUGCAUUUUCACAAUGUAAAGCUGAUUUUCCUUUAACCAAAUCAAACAUGAAAAGAUAGCUGCAUGCAAUGGGCAAUCUAGAUCAUUAGAAGAUUGAUGUAAAAUUAGAGGACACUGAGACUGGAAUAGAUUGCAAACUUCAGGGAGCUCAGAAAACUUGUAAACUCUACAUUUUGAGGAAAUAUGUUGUCGAUGCUUUUGCAACUCUAUGCAGUAACUUAACAAAUAAAGCCUUAAAGUAACUUAUCUACGA